UGCUCAUCCAGAGGGGUGGAGGGACCGGCCCUGCGAAGCCCCGGCAACCCUCCCGGUUCAAGACUCGUUUUUCUGACGAGGUCGGCCGGGACAGGUGCCAAUUCCGGUCUGUGACCAGGGUGGUCGCAGACGAAGAUGAGGG
rnacentral:ncRNA from 21 species